rnacentral:rRNA from 1 species
CCUACGGGAGGCAGCAGUGGGGAAUUUUGGACAAUGGGCGCAAGCCUGAUCCAGCCAUUCCGCGUGAGUGAAGAAGGCCUUCGGGUUGUAAAGCUCUUUCGCAAGGGAAGAAACGAUUUAGGUGAAUAAUCUAAGUUAAUGACGGUACCUUGAUAAGAAGCACCGGCUAACUACGUGCCAGCAGCCGCGGUAAUACGUAGGGUGCGAGCGUUAAUCGGAAUUACUGGGCGUAAAGCGUGCGCAGGCUGUUUUGUAAGUCAGAUGUGAAAUCCCCGAGCUCAACUUGGGAACUGCGUUUGAAACUACAAGACUAGAAUAUGUCAGAGGGGGGUAGAAUUCCACGUGCAGCAGUGAAAUGCGUAGAGAUGUGGAGGAAUAUCAAUGGCGAAGGCAGCCCCCUGGGAUAAUAUUGACGCUCAUGCACGAACGACGGUGGGGAGGACGAACAAGGAGUAGUAUACCUACGGUAGUACCGACCGACCCGUAACCG